rnacentral:rRNA from 1 species
GACGAACGCUGGCGGCGUGCUUAAUACAUGCAAGUCAACUGAACUUAAGAUAGCAAUAUUUUAAGGGAGGUGGCGCACGGGUGAGUAACACGUAGGUAAUCUGCCUUUAGGUCUGACAUAACCUACCGAAAGGUAGGCUAAAAUCAGAUGAUGCAGCGGCUCGACAUCGAGACAGUUGUUAAAUCUUCGGAGCCUAGAGAUGAGCCUGCGUCUGAUUAGGUAGUUGGCGGAGUAAUAGCCCACCAAGCCUGCGAUCAGUAGCUGGUCUGAGAGGAUGAUCAGCCACACUGGAACUGAGACACGGUCCAGACUCCUACGGGAGGCAGCAGUAAGGAAUAUUGCUCAAUGGCCGAAAGGCUGAAGCAGCAACGCCGCGUGGAGGAUGAAAUACUUUGUAUGUAAACUCCUGUAAGAAGGGAAAAAUAGUACCUGAUUAUCAGGAUUGAUUGUACCUUCAGAGUAAGCCCGGCUAACUACGUGCCAG